rnacentral:RNase_P_RNA from 1 species
UGAGUAAGCCAGACAAUCGCGGGGAUGCUUAGAUAUCCACGAGGAAAGUCCGAGCUCCAUAGGGCAAGGGUGCCAGAUAACGUCUGGUGAAGGUGACUUUAAGGAAAGUGCAACAGAAACAUACCGCCCACCAGCUAGUAUCCUGUAACUCUUAAAUGUUUUUAGGGGUUAGAGGGUACUAGCUGAGGCAAGGUUGAAAUGGUGAGGUAAGAGCUCACCGGCAGCAUGGUAACAUACUGGCCGUGUAAACCCCACCCGGAGCAAGACCAAGUAGGGAGGCAAUUGUUCUUCGGAGCAAGAGCCUGAAAGGCGGCUGCCCGUCGCUUCCCGGAUGGUAGGUCGCUAGAGCGCACUGGUAACAGUGAGCGUAGAUAGAUGAUUGUCUAAUACAGAACUCGGCUUAUAGACUUGCUCAUGCC